rnacentral:rRNA from 1 species
AGAUACAAGCGAGCGGCGGACGGGUGAGUAACACGUGGGUAACCUGCCCAAGAGACUGGGAUAACACCUGGAAACAGAUGCUAAUACCGGAUAACAACACUAGACGCAUGUCUAGAGUUUGAAAGAUGGUUCUGCUAUCACUCUUGGAUGGACCUGCGGUGCAUUAGCUAGUUGGUAAGGUAACGGCUUACCAAGGCAAUGAUGCAUAGCCGAGUUGAGAGACUGAUCGGCCACAUUGGGACUGAGACACGGCCCAAACUCCUACGGGAGGCAGCAGUAGGGAAUCUUCCACAAUGGACGAAAGUCUGAUGGAGCAACGCCGCGUGAGUGAAGAAGGGUUUCGGCUCGUAAAGCUCUGUUGGUAGUGAAGAAAGAUAGAGGUAGUAACUGGCCUUUAUUUGACGGUAAUUACUUAGAAAGUCACGGCUAACUACGUGCCAGCAGCCGCGGUAAUACGUAGGUGGCAAGCGUUGUCCGGAUUUAUUGGGCGUAAAGCGAGUGCAGGCGGUUCAAUAAGUCUGAUGUGAAAGCCCUUCGGCUCAACCGGAGAAUUGCAUC